UAUCAUGCAGUCGAGGGGCAGCACAGGUAGCAAUACUGGGUGGCGACCGGCAAACGGGUGCGGAACACGUACGUAACCUUCCUUUAAGUGGGAGAUAGCCCGAAGAAAUUCGGAUUAAUACCCCAUAAGAUUGUGGAAUGGCAUCAUUCAGCAAUUAAAGAAAUUCGCUUAAAGAUGGGCGUGCGGCUGAUUAGGUAGUUGGUGAGGUAACGGCUCACCAAGCCAACGAUCAGUAACUGGCGUGAGAGCGCGACCAGUCACACGGGCACUGAGACACGGGCCCGACUCCUACGGGAGGCAGCAGUAAGGAAUAUUGGUCAAUGGACGCAAGUCUGAACCAGCCAUGCCGCGUGAAGGAUGAAGGUCCUCUGGAUUGUAAACUUCUUUUAUAUGGGAAGAAACCACUUUUUUCUAAAGGUGUUGACGGUACCAUAGGAAUAAGCACCGGCUAACUCCGUGCCAGCAGCCGCGGUAAUACGGAGGGUGCAAGCGUUAUCCGGAUUCACUGGGUUUAAAGGGUGCGUAGGCGGAUUAGUAAGUCCGUGGUGAAAUCUCCGAGCUUAACUCGGAAACUGCCGUGGAUACUAUUAAUCUUGAAUACUGUGGAGGUUAGCGGAAUAUGUCAUGUAGCGGUGAAAUGCAUAGAUAUGACAUAGAACACCAAUUGCGAAGGCAGCUGGCUACACAGAGAUUGACGCUGAGGCACGAAAGCGUGGGGAUCAAACAGGAUUAGAUACCCUGGUAGUCCACGCCCUAAACGAUGAUUACUCGACAUUUGCGAUAUACAGUAAGUGUCUGAGCGAAAGCAUUAAGUAAUCCACCUGGGAAGUACGACCGCAAGGUUGAAACU
rnacentral:rRNA from 1 species